rnacentral:rRNA from 1 species
ACCCGUUGAUCCUGCGGGAGGAUGCUGCUAUUGGGGUCGGACUAAGCCAUGCAAGUCCAGGGGAUCCUUGAGAUCACCGGCAGACUGCUCAGUAACACGUCGAUAAUCUAACCUUAGAUUCGGAAUACCCUCGGGAAACUGAGGUUAAUACCGAAUAAGGUAUAAUUUCUGGAAUGAUUUAUACCCGAAAGGAGUCGUCUAAGGAUGAGUCGGCGGCCGAUUAGGUUGUUGGUGGGGUAAGAGCCCACCAAGCCAUUGAUCGGUAGGGGCCUUGAAAGAGGUAGCCCCGAGAAGGACACUGAGACACAGGUCCUAGCCCUACGGGGUGCAGCAGGCGCGAAACCUUUACAAUGCACGAAAGUGUGAUAAGGCGACCCCAAGUGCCAGUACUUUGUAUUGGCUUUUGCAAAGAGUAAAUAUCUUGGCGAAUAAGUGGUGGGUAAGACUGGUGCCAGCCGCCGCGGUAACACCAGCGCCACGAGUGGCGUCCACGUUUAUUGGGCCUAAAGUGUCCGUAGCCUGUUAAGACAGUCUUCUGUGAAAGUGGUGAGCUCAACUUACCGAAGUGCAGGAGAUACUACUUGACUUGAGACCGGGAGGAGUUAGAGGUAUUCUGGGGGAAGCGGUAAAAUGCGAUAAUCCUUGGAGGACCACCUGUGGCGAAGGCGUCUAACCAGAACGGGUCUGACGGUGAGGGACGAAGGCUAGGGGAGCGAUCCGGAUUAGAUACCCGAGUAGUCCUAGUAGUAAACGCUGCAAGUUAGGUGUUGCAUAACCUUCGCGGUUGUGCAGUAUCGUAGAGAAGUCGUUAAACUUGCCGCCUGGGGAGUACGGUCGCAAGGCUGAAACUUAAAGGAAUUGGCGGGGGAGCACUACAAGGAGUGCGGCGUGCGGUUUAAUCUAAUUCAACACAGAGAAUCUCACCAGAAGCGACAGCAGUAUGAAGGUCAGAUUAAAGGUUUUACCUGACAAGCUGAGAGGUGGUGCAUGGCCGUCGUCAGCUCGUGCCGUGAGGUGUCCUGUUAAGUCAGGCAACGAGCGAGACCUGCGUUUUCAAUUGCUAGCGACAAGGCAACUUGGAUCGAGCACAUUGGAGAGACUGCCUUGGAAACAAGGAGGAAGGUGCAGGCAACGAUAGGUCUGUAUGCCCCGAAUCUUCUGGGCUACACGCGCGCAACAAUGGUUGGCACAAUAGGAUGCAACUCCGAAAGGAGAAGCUAACCCCUGAAAGCUAAUCUUAGUACAGAUUGAGGAUUGUAACUCAUCCUCAUGACGCCGGAAUUCCUAGUAAUCGGACUUCAUCAAAGUCCGGUGAAUAUGUCCCUGCUCCUUGCACACACCGCCCGUCAAACCAUCCGAGCAGGGUUUAGGUGAGUUUUGGCUUAUUGGCCAAUGCGAAUCUAAGCUCAGUGAGGCGGGUUAAGUCGUCACAAGGUA